UUACCCAUUCAGAGCUGCUCUAUGCUCUGCGGUGGCUAACACAGGGGGGGAGAUCAUGGUCUCUCUAAAACAUAGAGAUGGAGGCCUUACUCCUCUCUGUAUCCUGUCGUGAGCUACAUAU